GCAAUGCCGCGUGCAGGAUGAAGGCCUUCGGGUUGUAAACUGCUUUUGUACGGAACGAAACGGCGAGCUCUAAUAAAGUUCGCUAAUGACGGUACCGUAAGAAUAAGCACCGGCUAACUACGUGCCAGCAGCCGCGGUAAUACGUAGGGUGCAAGCGUUAAUCGGAAUUACUGGGCGUAAAGCGUGCGCAGGCGGUGAUGUAAGACAGAUGUGAAAUCCCCGGGCUCAACCUGGGACCUGCAUUUGUGACUGCAUCGCUAGAGUACGGUAGAGGGGGAUGGAAUUCCGCGUGUAGCAGUGAAAUGCGUAGAUAUGCGGAGGAACACCGAUGGCGAAGGCAAUCCCCUGGACCUGUACUGACGCUCAUGCACGAAAGCGUGGGGAGCAAACAGGAUUAGAUACCCUGGUAGUCCACGCCCUAAACGAUGUCAACUGGUUGUUGGGUCUUCACUGACUCAGUAACGAAGCUA
rnacentral:rRNA from 1 species